rnacentral:rRNA from 1 species
AUUGAACGCUGGCGGCAUGCUUUACACAUGCAAGUCGAACGGUAACAGGCCUUCGGGCGCUGACGAGUGGCGAACGGGUGAGUAAUGCAUCGGAACGUGCCCAGUCGUGGGGGAUAACGCAGCGAAAGCUGUGCUGAUACCGCAUACGAUCUGUGGAUGAAAGCGGGGGACCUUCGGGCCUCGCGCGAUUGGAGCGGCCGAUGUCAGAUUAGGUAGUUGGUGGGGUAAAGGCUCACCAAGCCAACGAUCUGUAGCUGGUCUGAGAGGACGACCAGCCACACUGGGACUGAGACACGGCCCAGACUCCUACGGGAGGCAGCAGUGGGGAAUUUUGGACAAUGGGCGCAAGCCUGAUCCAGCAAUGCCGCGUGCGGGAAGAAGGCCUUCGGGUUGUAAACUGCUUUUGUACGGAACGAAACGGUCCUGGUUAAUACCUGGGGCUAAUGACGGUACCGUAAGAAUAAGCACCGGCUAACUACGUGCCAGCCGCCGCGGUAAUAC